rnacentral:rRNA from 1 species
AUUCUGGGCGUAAGCGUACGCAGGCGGUUUGUUAAGCGAGAUGUGAAAGCCCCGGGCUCAACCUGGGAACUGCAUUUCGAACUGGCAAACUAGAGUGUGAUAGAGGGUGGUAGAAUUUCAGGUGUAGCGGUGAAAUGCGUAGAGAUCUGAAGGAAUACCGAUGGCGAAGGCAGCCACCUGGGUCAACACUGACGCUCAUGUACGAAAGCGUGGGGAGCAAACGGGAUUAGAUACCCCGGUAGUCCACGCCGUAAACGAUGUCUACUAGAAGCUCGGAACCUCGGUUCUGUUUUUCAAAGCUAACGCAUUAAGUAGACCGCCUGGGGAGUACGGCCGCAAGGUUAAAACUCAAAUGAAUUGACGGGGGCCCGCACAAGCGGUGGAGCAUGUGGUUUAAUUCGAUGCAACGCGAAGAACCUUACCUACACUUGACAUACAGAGAACUU